rnacentral:rRNA from 1 species
GAUGAACGCUGGCGGAGUGCCUAACACAUGCAAGUCGAGCGGCAGCGCGAGUAGUUUACUACUUGGCGGCGAGCGGCGGACGGCUGAGUAACGCGUGGGAACAUGCCCCAAAGUGAGGAAUAACUGCCCGAAAGGGUAGCUAAUGCCGCAUACGAUCUUCGGAUUAAAGGAUUUAUCCGCUUUGGGAGUGGCCUGCGUACGAUUAGAUAGUUGGUGAGGUAAUGGCUCACCAAGUCUACGAUCGUUAACUGGUUUGAGAGGAUGAUCAGUCAGACUGGAACUGAGACACGGUCCAGACUCCUACGGGAGGCAGCAGUGAGGAAUCUUCCACAAUGGACGAAAGUCUGAUGGAGCAACUCCGCGUGCAGGAUGAAGGCCUUCGGGUCGUAAACUGCUUUA